UAAGACAGAGGGUGCAAACGUUGUUCGGAAUUACUGGGCGUAAAGCGUGUGUAGGCGGCCACGUAAGUCGGAUGUGAAAGCCCCGGGCUCAACCCGGGAAGUGCACUCGAUACUGCGUGGCUUGAGUACUGGAGAGGUUGGUGGAAUUCUCGGUGUAGAGGUGAAAUUCGUAGAUAUCGAGAGGAACACCGGUGGCGAAGGCGGCCAACUGGACAGAUACUGACGCUGAGACACGAAAGCGUGGGGAGCAAACAGG
rnacentral:rRNA from 1 species